AUGUCAUCUUUUCACCAACGUAUUUGCUUUAAAUUUCUCACGCCAAGUUACAUUUACUGCAGGAUCUUUCCAUAAAAAAUAAAUAGAGGAUGUCAAACUUGGCACAGUUUGACUCUGAUUUUUACCAAUCUAAUUUUACUAUUGAUAACCAGGAGCAGAGUGGUGAUGAUUCUAAUGCCUAUGGAAAUCUUUAUGUAUCUAGAAAACAAGCUGGUGAGCAGCCUCAGCCUGCCUCUUUUGUUCCACCAGAGAUGCUCAUGUCACCAGGUUACGCAGGACAAUUUUUUCAGCCAGCAUCCAACUCAGAUUAUUAUUCACAAUCUCCUUACAUUGACAGUUUUGAUGAAGAGCCUCCUUUGCUAGAAGAUAAGAACUUGGAAUCCAUUUUGAUCACAUAUGGCAAAAAACUUUGACAGUGUUAAACCCAAUGAAGCCAGCAGAUGGCAGCAUUAUGAAUGAAACGGACCUCACUGGACCCAUUCUUUUUUGCGUAGCCCUGGGAGCCACCUUGCUUCUGGUAAUGUGUCACAGGAAGCACCAGAUUUUAAUGCUUGUCCUUUCCAGUGCUGGUUUUGAAGCAAUCUGUAUAAAUAUGAGAGAAACUGUGUCACCUUACAUAGUGAAUUUUUUAAGUGAGAGAGAAUAAUUUAACCAUAGUGACAAAAAUAUGCUACCAUUAUGCAUUGCAACAGCUAAAAAGUAUAAAUUUAAAUAGAAUUUCAAAAAUCAAGAAGCAGAUCAAAGCAGGA
rnacentral:sRNA from 1 species